CGGUAGGUGGCAAGCGUUGUCCGGAUUUAUUGGGUUUAAAGGGUGCGUAGGCGGUCUUAUAAGUCAGUGCUGAAAUAUCCCGGCUUAACCGGGAGGGUGGCAUUGAUACUGUAGGACUUGAGUAAAGUUGAGGUUGGCGGAAUUGACGGUGUAGCGGUGAAAUGCUUAGAUAUCGUCAAGAACACCGAUAGUGUAGACAGCUAACUAAGCUUUAACUGACGCUGAGGCACGAAAGUGUGGGGAUCAAACAGGAUUAGAUACCCUGGUAGUCCACACUGUAAACGUUGAAGACUCGCUGUUGGCGAUACACAGUCAGCGGCUGAGAGAAAUCGUUAAGUCUUCCACCUGGGGGAGUACGCCGGCAACGGUG
rnacentral:rRNA from 1 species